UACGUAGGGUGCGAGCGUUGUCCGGAAUUAUUGGGCGUAAAGGGCUCGUAGGCGGUUUGUCACGUCAGGAGUGAAAACUCGGGGCUUAACCCCGAGCCUGCUUCUGAUACGGGCAGACUAGAGGUAUGCAGGGGAGAACGGAAUUCCUGGUGUAGCGGUGGAAUGCGCAGAUAUCAGGAGGAACACCGGUGGCGAAGGCGGGUCUCUGGGCAGUAACUGACGCUGAGGAGCGAAAGCGUGGGGAGCGAACAGG
rnacentral:rRNA from 1 species